CUUAGGGUGGGGGGUUGGAUCACAGGCUAAGCCCAAGUGGGUGGAGGGAUUAUAAUGGCGAACGGGGUGAUUAAACGAGGAGUAACCUGCCCUUGACUCUGGGAUAAGCUUGGGAAACUGGGUCUAAUACCGGAUAGGAACGUCCACCGCAUGGGGUUUGUUGGAAAAGAUUUAUUCGGUCAUUGAAUGGACUCGCGGGCCUAUUCAGCUUGUUUGGUGGAGUUAUUGGCUCCCCAAGGGCGACCGCCGGGUAAGCGGCCCUGAAAGGGGUGACCGGCCCACAUUGGGACUGAGAACACGCCCAAAAUCUCUACGGGAGGAAGCGGUGGGGAAAUUUUGCACAAUGGGCCAAAAGCUUGAUGCGGCGACCCCCCGGGGAGGAAGACCGCCCUUGGGGUUGUAAACCUUUUUUCAGUGGGAAGAAAGCAAAUGAACGGUCCCUGCAAAAAAGGCACCGGCUAACUAGGGGCAACAGCCGGGGUUAAUCGUAGGGGGGCGAGCGUUUAUCGGAUUUUUGGCGCUAAAGAGCCCUAGGCGUUUGUCGCGCCUUCUGAAAGUCCGGGCUUAACCCCGAUCUGCGUGGUCCGCCAGCUAGCUCCAGUAGGGAGACUGAUCUGUGUAAGCGUGAUGCGCAAUUCAGAGAACUCGAUGCGAGUCAGUCUCUGGGCUGUACUGACGCUGAGGAGCGAAAGCAUGGGAGCGACAGAUUAGAUACCCUGGUAGUCCAUGCCGUAAACGUUGGGCACUAGGUUGUGGGGACCAUUCACGGUUUCCGCGCCGCAGCUAACGCAUUAAGUGCCCCGCCUGGGGAGUACGGCCGCAAGGCUAAAACUCAAAGGAAUUGACGGGGGCCCGCACAAGCGGCGGAGCAUGCGGAUUAAUUCGAUGCAACGCGAAGAACCUUACCAAGGCUUGACAUGUUCUCGAUCGCCGUAGAGAUACGGUUUCCCUUUGGGGCGGGAUCACAGGUGGUGCAUGGUUGUCGUCAGCUCGUGUCGUGAGAUGUUGGGUUAAGUCCCGCAACGAGCGCAACCCUCGUUCCAUGUUGCCAGCACGUCAUGGUGGGGACUCAUGGGAGACUGCCGGGGUCAACUCGGAGGAAGGUGGGGACGACGUCAAAUCAUCAUGCCCCUUAUGUCUUGGGCUUCACGCAUGCUACAAUGGCCGGUACAAUGGGUUGCGAUACUGUGAGGUGGAGCUAAUCCCAAAAAGCCGGUCUCAGUUCGGAUUGGGGUCUGCAACUCGACCCCAUGAAGUCGGAGUCGCUAGUAAUCGCAGAUCAGCAACGCUGCGGUGAAUACGUUCCCGGGCCUUGUACACACCGCCCGUCAAGUCACGAAAGUCGGUAACACGUGGAGACGGUGCCUAUACGGGUGCACGGUAGAGAGGGCCUGG
rnacentral:rRNA from 1 species